rnacentral:tRNA from 1 species
GCGGGUGUUGCCCAUGGUGGGCCGCCGGCCUUCCAAGCCGCGCAGUGAGGGUUCGAUUCCCUCCGCCCGCUCCA